CGCGGCGGCGGCGCGCAGGGGACGCGGCGGCAGGGGCGGGAGGAAGGGGCGGGUCGCGGAGGCCGCGCCCACCGCCGCCGCGCUGCCGCCCGUGCGGGUGAAUGGGGCUCGGCGGCCCCGCGCGGGGGCGGGCGGCGGGGGGGAGGGAGCGUCCUCAGGUGAGGCGGCGGCGCCCCGGGGAGCGCUCCUCAGCGCGUCCUCGGGAGGCAGCGCUCGCCCGCCCGCUCGCCCGCGGCAGCUCCUUCGCUCAGCGGCCCCGUGCCAUUGUCCUGCGGGGCCGGCGGGGCAGGGCACGGCACCGCGGCGAGACCCCGCUCCCGGCCCGCCCCUCGGGCCAGGGGGAAGCGGAACCGGGCCCGCCUCGGGUGGGCCCCGCCUAGGGAGUCGUGCCGUGACCCGGCGCCCGGGAGACGCCCCGGAGCGGCGGGGAGGGCGAGGGGCGGGCUGCGCUCCCGGCCGGCGGAGCUCGGCGCUUCGCGGGUCUCCGGGCUGGCCGAGGCCGGUGGCGAAGCCCUCCGCCGGCAGACCCUUCCCCUUCCCCUUCCUCUUCUUCACCCCGGCCCCUCCGCUCCCUGCAGCGGGGUCUGUGCCCCUCAAGUAACCUGCGCUCGGUACAGUGGUAACACUGGAGUCUGCGUGCGGGAAAGAAAACACGUAACCCUCGCAGCCCACUGUGUGAGCUUGGCAGCGGGCCCGCCUGUUCUCAAGCUGUAAUCAUUCAAUGUGUCCAAGUCACUUUGUGCGAUUCUGCCGUUAUCUUUCUCGAUGACGGGAUCCUCCAGCGGCACAGCAUGGGUGUUAAUGCCCUCCGCAUCACCUCCCACCUCUCUCCCUUCUUCUGGCAAUGACAAAAACAAUGUGGCAGAAAGCCUUCGUAGCUGGUGGUGUCACGCUAAUAACCGGAGGCCCUUGACAAUUUACGAGGCAGAGCCACGUAAUGGCUCUUCUAACCUGUGUCCGAGGACCGUGUUCAUGCCCUCCUUCCUCCGGAUCCAAGCAGCUCGGAAUACCCCAAAGCCACUUCGCAUCCCUCCCUCUUGCAUUUUCUGCUGCUCAGCUGCAACUGAGGACUGGAAUUCAGAUGUUUCCAAAGGCUAAGCCAGCUCAGGUUGAGCAGUAUGGUGUGCCUCCUCUCCAAACAACCCGACUAAUGAAGGCUUUUUGAAUGCUAGAGAAAUGGCUCACCCAGGCAUAAACCAGAAGAGAAUGUGUUUCUGUUUAGUAUCAACCAGAUGCAAGAGGCUUGGCAGGCUACUGCUGAGCAAACCCAGCCGACUCCAUCACAUCUCAUCAGCAUGGAUCACCCUUAAUACAGGGUCAUGAGGAGGAUGCAUGACUAAUGUUCUGGACACAUUCAGAGAAUCCAAAAGCUUCAAAAAGCAGAGUGAUCCUUCCUCUCACAGUGAGGUUUCCCCCAUCAUCUCUGAAACAACCUCCCGCUUUGCAGUCUUUGUUUCUUUGGAAAGUCUGUUUGUAUUUAAGAGGAAAAAGUAGCUGAGAUCUUCGUAUGUCUCACUACAGUCAGUGUCCUAGGACAGCAGCGCUUAUGCAAGAUCAUUUUGGCCUUCUUUGAUGAUCUGUAAAUAGCAUAAUGCAGGAUACACAGUCGGAGAGGUUUCUGGAGUGGGGGGAAGUGGGUUUUUCUGGUGGUUUUGGUUUUUUGAAGGUUAUUGUUCUUUUUACUUAAUGUGCCUAGAGUUUGGGCUUUGAAUAUGUAGGAAAAGAUUUUUUAUUUCACUUCUUUGGAUUAUUUUCCAUAGAACUAGUAUAGAAAGAAAAUGCAAUUUACUAUACAAUAGAAGUGAGAGAAUUGCAACAACAAAGCAUGAGCUUUCUUUCUGGUUAUAGUGAAGGGCUUUCCAAAAAUGGUGGGCUAAAAGAAAAUGGCUCUGACAGUGUGCUCCUGUUAGCAUCUAAGAUUAUCAAAACAGAAUUGAAUUAAGUAAUUUAAUAUAUUAUUCUCAUCACUGAUUAUGUUAAUCUAAUUUAUAAAUACUUCUUUUGCUCUGGACCAGACACAGAGCUGACGCCUGAACCAAUUCCAUGAGGUCAUGGUUAGCUGAACAAGAUGAGGAUCAGACUACUAUAUAGAUAGUUAAAAUAUACUGGCUAGUAUAAUUCUUCCUGUCCUCCUCUUUCUUUCCCUUGCCCCCAAGUCAUUUUCAAUUUCAGGUUGCCAUGAGUCAGCCGACUGCUGAAGUGUUGCACAGCAGACCAUUAAAGGAAAUGCUUUCAACCAAAACUCUUUAGCUUUAUUUUAUUUAUGAAAUUAUGCAGUAUUUCUCAACCGUCUUCUGAGGGAGGGGGAGUAAACUAUCUCUAAAAUUCUUUAAGAAUGCUAAAAUAAACAGUUAUUGGCAUGACUCAGCAGAUAACGACAACAAUCACCAGCAAGGGCUUUUCCUAAUGGAAUAAUAUUUUUGUUUUGUUGUAAAAAAGGCAAAACAACAUCACCAGAAAAGGAAGCAAAGCUUGCUAUCAAACACAGUCCUUUGACUCCUGAAUGUGAAGCUCGGUCUUCCUACCAGCGUACCCUGCUCCUUGUUAUACAAGUAAACAAUUCAUAGAUCUUCCAUCAAGCACCUCCAAAGAGGAAUGAAAACAACAGCUGAAGCAUUCCACUGUGCAUCUUUCCACCAAGGUUCCUAAUAGUGCCCCUCGUACUGUCAAAUAGCAUCAGCAAAUCUAACCACAAGCCUCUGUAGACGUGAGUCUGGAGUAUGGUAUGUGUCUUUCAGUCUGUUCCCAGUAGACUCAAAUAUUUAAGUGAAAAUUCCUUGAAUAAAAAUGGAUUGUUUUUUCCCCCUAGAUUUAUCAUGAAAAGAAUUUGUAUUGUGCUGCAGGCUAUUCAGUGAGGGCUGAAGUCUCUUUUUGUGUAAAUACUGUUUAUCAAGUGUAAAUCAAUGCAUUGUGUAUUAAGUGUAAAAAUGCUUUUCUGACACUCAGAUAAAUUAUGAUUGUUGUUUUGA